rnacentral:lncRNA from 1 species
CCAAAUCCCUAAUCUCCAUCCUUCGCGUCUUCAUCUCUCUUCAGUCCCGUAGCCACAGCCACCCACCCCAGUCGCCAGUCCCACAGCCACCCACCCUGCCACCCACUCGCCAAAGCCAGUCUCUUCUCUCCAUCCUUUGCCGCUUCAGUCCCGCAGCCAAUUGAUUUUGUGAAAGGGUGGGUCGCUUGUCAAGGUUGGAUCUUUGAUAAGAUUUGUUGCGGAGAGGUAAUAUCUGCUCUUAGGUUUUAGCUCAGCUUAUUUUUUCACUAUAACCCUGGCGCAUGUUUCUAUCUCUGUUUGGUUCCCGAGAAAAUUGAGGAAAGCCAUGGAAAUUCCAUUUUGAGGUCGAACUAGAAUUCUAAUUCAUGUGUUCUUUAAUCUUUACACCGAGAUUAUGCUUAUUAUGUAUAUAAAACCUUUUUUUUUUUCCAUUCACAAUUAAAUUGAUUACCUUGACUUUUAAUUUAUCCAGAGAAUCUUGUUGUUUUGCUGAUUAUUAUUAAAUCUUUUGGUUGUUGGUUUACUGAGCUAUUAAUUUAUUCAAUAUUAUUGGCUGAAUUAGAUCUAACUUAUUGUUUGUUGACAUGAUGUUUGGAGAUGUUACUGCUUCUUUAACCUUCCACGGAGCCCCCUUUUUUUAAUUACCGCUCCUUAGAUUGUUGAGUACAAUCAAACAUUUGAAGUCUAAUUUAGUUUCUACUUAGUUUCAAUUUGUGAAUUUGAAAGACUGCUGUGGAUUUAAUUACUAUACUGAAAGCAUUGUGUUUUGCAGGACUACUUCUUUUUCUUCUUCCAAUUAGAAAAUAAAAAAAAAAAGAAAUAGAGGGUGAGCAGUAACAGUUUCGGAUUUUGGAGAGUUCAAUUGGUUAGAUAUAAUUCAAUGAAAUUAGAAAAAAA